AAUAACUUGAAAUUGUAUCCAUCUCUAUUAGUAAUAUUUUAAAAUUAUUUUUGUAUGAUUUGCUUGAUAUAUAUAUCCGGUUAUAAUUGUGUGGUUGCAAUUAUCUUUUCAAUCAAUUUGAAUUAAAACUUCCACAGGUAACCGCGUUACCACUUUAUGUUUAGUUGAAAAGUGUCUAAUAGAUGUUGACUAAAUGCCCCAAAGAAAUGUCGCCUUAAUUCUAGCUUUGCAGAAAACAAUGAAGGAUGCUGAUAGUUGAUUAUAUGGCUUAAAACUCACGGGAUGACUGUUAUCGAGCCCUCGUGCAAGAGUAAUUGUUGACGAUGUGAUAUACAUUGAAACAAAUAGUGGAGCAGUUAAAAAAGAGUGGGUAGGAGUGGUGCUUUUUGCUACAGAAUUUGAGCUCGAGGCAGAAGAGUAUGUUCCACUUUCUAAAGGAGAGGUUCAAAAAAGAAGGAGAUAGUCCAGUUACUCUCAUUCGUAUGAAAACAAUUAAGCCAUUUUGUUCUAUCCACUUGGUUAUGAAAUGCACUUCAGGGAGCCAGAACCAUUAUUACCUUCACCUAGAAGCUUGGUCAUAUUGACAACACCAGCAGGAAUUAACGACAAUAAAAUAGUAAUUGCACCUCCUGCUCCUUCAUUGAUGACAAUGGAAUAGCAACUUGACCUUCUGCUUCUUCAUUCAAUUAAUCUAUUAAGGUAUCAUCUAUUUCUUGGUUGCUUAUUCAAUUUUCGGUCAUAUGUAUAUAUCUGUUUUGGGUAGAUUUAUGAAAAUAAAG